GGCCAACAUGGCAUAGUGGUUUGAAUGUUGGACUACAGCUUUGGAGAUCGGGGUUCGAUUUCCCGCUUGGUCA